CAAAACCCUUGGCAUAGUUCUUUCAUUCUAUAGGACUAGGUAGCAGCUUCAACUGGAGUUCUCACACGACAAUUUUUGCCUGAACUUGAAACAAAGGCAAGUGAAAAAGGUAUGUAUUUCAAACAAACCCAUCAAUUAUGGAGAUGAAUUUCUUUUGAUAAAUUAUGGGUAUUCCUUUAUUCUGACUUUUGCUUAAUCUUAUGAAUCUUUGCUUCUUAUCGAUUAGGAUAUGUGGGCUCAUUUUAGUAAGUAUGGAGUUAGUAUGCUUUGAAGAAUUUUGAAGCUUUUUCCCCCCAAAUUUUUCCUGAAAAAUGGCUUGCUAUUAUUAGUUUGUUGGAAAAGAUGAACUUUUUACACUAGAACUGUAAAAUUCCCUGUUUCUUCAAACUCUGAUCUUGUUUCUUUUUGCAGAUUUGGGAAUCUGUACGGGUUCUUAAACUCUCACCCCCCCUCUCUCUCUCUCUCCAAACUCUGCUCUUGUUGUUGUAUUUCAGUAGUAUAUACGGUGUCCACUAGUUGUUGCUACUAUUGAC
rnacentral:lncRNA from 1 species